AAAGAGCUGGGCUAGUAAAUUGUAAUGCGUGUAUUUUACGUCAUAGCCAACGUUUUUACAAAUGAUGGUGUAGAAUUGUAACUAUGAGCAAUUACAAUAACUUAGGCUCGUCUUUAUUGCAUUUAUAGAUUUUAAGAGAACUCAUGACACCCUAACAGCGGUCUUAUAUUAGAAACGGCGAGGACUAAAGAAAUGUACAACCUUUGGAAGAGGCGAUGAAUUAUAAAUCAAGUAAACGGAAGAGUCUAACUGUUGCCAGGUUCUGUUAAACACGGCAGGCUUUAAGACAUGUACGGAAGAUAAUCUUUUUUUCCUCCUGCAGGGAUGGCUACGGUGGGUUUUACCACUGAACUCGGGGUUUUACAAGAGCCAAGCCAAAUCCAACUCCAGAAGUAAUGGGACCAAUCAAACUUAGACUCAAUCCAACAGUGCUGUCGAGAACCCAGAUGAGUAGAUCAUGUGUCCGUGCAGCUCCAAAAUAUGAACAUAUAACUCAGAACCAAAGGAAGCUCGUGUGGUGUGAAAACCAGGGACAAUACAUGUGAACAAGCCACUCGGUGUAAAAUAACACGAAAGUCCAAAACUUAGAAAAGCAAGAUAAUUUAAUGGGAAAAACAAUGGACUAGUAAUGCAUUCCAUACACAUCCAGUGUGUACCAAAUGGUACCAGGUUAAGCGCUUUCAUCCUUUACACAAUGUAGGGCUUCAUCAGAAGACCCCCUCCACACAUGUUUUCUUCCUGAUCAUUGAACAAUAACAAUAGGCAAUCUGAAACAGUGUAAAAGCCAAUCAACAUAAAGACAGAUUGUCAUAAUAAAUCCAUUUUAUGAAUAGCAGGAAAGAUUAUCUGAAAACAGAGCCAGCCUGAACAAUCUACCUGGAUUGUCUCUGCAUCCUUUUACAUCUGAGUGUUGCCUUAUUUGUUGGACUGAAGGCCCUGUGAUAAGCAAACAAGAAGGGAAAAGCUGUAAAUCCCUACUUUGUGCUUUUGUUUGGAUGAUUCUUGAGACUUCAAGACUCUUUUUCCCUAUUUUUAAAUAAGCUGUGAUGCCAUUAUCUACAUCUUCAACAUCUAUAAUGGGAAGUGGAAAAUGAUAUGAUAAGCAUACGAAAUAGGUAUUUUCAGUUAGUGUUGUCAAACAUUUUUCCUGUACUCAGGCUGAAAACCCUUGCAGGCAGUGUAACCUGUUUCGUUACAUCAAGAAUAGCCUUUUCACAUUCUCUCUCUGAAUUUCCCUGAAUAAAUCAUGUUAUUACUCAUGUUAAGUGUUGGAAGAAUGCCUUCAGUCUUGUGGCUCUCAUUAUUAUAAAUACCCUACACUUUGUAUUACACAAGAUAAUAGGAUAGUAGAAAGUAAAUUAGUAGAAUCUUUAUUAUGCUUAAAUAAUAUUUUAGUUGCCAGUGAUUUCCAAGUGAAGGUAAUAACCUUCUAGCCUUUAUUGCUAAGAAUCAUUUGUAUGGUACAUCAAGAGAUGAGAACAAAACUGAAAUGUAUGAUCACCUAAUGUUGUUUUUCUGGGUUUCUUGUAUCCUUUUACUUUAUACAGUUUCAAAAAUAACACAAAACAGAUAAAAAGCUCACACACAAUAGCCACACAAGCAACAUCAAAAGAUCCAGGUUGUGCAGAGUCUUCACUGUGUAGUAUUUUAAAUCUCCUCUAUAAGAGGCCCACGUAUAUGCAAAUUGACAAAUAUGGGUAUGCAUGUGUUUUGUGCUACAUGGCUUCUGAAUGUCACUGAUGUUACCUUCUAAAAUGCUUUCUUGAUCUAUUCAAACCAAUAAAGCCAUGUUUCAAAGAAGAAGAAAAAAAUAUUCAAUUGUUGCCAUGCUUCCUGUACCAAUCAAUAUAUUUUUCUGUUGCGAUGAUGUAUCUGGUAUUCUGAGAUAGAACAUAACAUUUAUGACUUGCAUACUUGGGUGUAAGAGGUAUGAAAGGUUUGUAAUGUUUUAGGUAGUAAAGUUCCAUUAUUAGUCACUUGGCUAUUAGUUGAACUGCCUUGGUCAAUUUUACAAGCAUUAAGUAUUAUUGAAGAGUAAUGGAGUUUCAGU